GGCAAAAAAUAACGGACAGAGUAAAUGCCUAAUAGAAAGAAGACUGAAGCCUGUCUAACUGGCGGGGGCCCACCACCACCUCCCCUCACCCCAUCUGAGGAGCUGGCUCUGUCCCUUAAUAAAGGGCGACCAGUGGUUGCUGGCAUUCCUGGGGGCAGUUCCUCGCACACACCAUGCACCACAAGUGAUGGUGAAAAAAUGGUGAAAUAUACUGAUGGACGGAUUGUAUUAUUGGACCCUCCAGAAAGAACACAGUCUGUGACAGUUG